GGUGCUUGAAGAGAGGUCCUCCAUGAUGCAUUCGCUUUAUUCUCUGACGAUCAACAUAGUGACCUUUUUUAGUAUC
rnacentral:pre_miRNA from 12 species